CCUACGGGGGGCAGCAGUGGGGAAUAUUGCACAAUGGGGGAAACCCUGAUGCAGCAACGCCGCGUGAGUGAAGAAGUAUUUCGGUAUGUAAAGCUCUAUCAGCAGGGAAGAGAAUGACGGUACCUGACUAAGAAGCCCCGGCUAACUACGUGCCAGCAGCCGCGGUAAUACGUAGGGGGCGAGCGUUAUCCGGAUUUACUGGGUGUAAAGGGAGCGUAGACGGUUCUGCAAGUCUGAAGUGAAAGCCCGUGGCUUAACCGCGGAACGGCUUUGGAAACUGUGGAACUGGAGUGCUGGAGAGGCAAGCGGAAUUCCUAGUGUAGCGGUGAAAUGCGUAGAUAUUAGGAGGAACACCAGUGGCGAAGGCGGCUUGCUGGACAGUAACUGACGUUGAGGCUCGAAAGCGUGGGGAGCAAACAGGAUUAGAUACCCUGGUAG
rnacentral:rRNA from 1 species